rnacentral:rRNA from 1 species
UACGAAGGGGGCUAGCGUUGCUCGGAAUCACUGGGCGUAAAGGGCGCGUAGGCGGUCUUUUAAGUCGGGGGUGAAAGCCUGUGGCUCAACCACAGAAUUGCCUUCGAUACUGGGAGACUUGAGUUCGGAAGAGGUUGGUGGAACUGCGAGUGUAGAGGUGAAAUUCGUAGAUAUUCGCAAGAACACCGGUGGCGAAGGCGGCCAACUGGUCCGACACU